rnacentral:rRNA from 1 species
GACGAACGCUGGCGGCGUGCUUAACACAUGCAAGUCGAACGGAAAGGCCCUGCUUUUGUGGGGUGCUCGAGUGGCGAACGGGUGAGUAACACGUGUGUAACCUGCCCUUGACUUUGGGAUAACUUCAGGAAACUGGGGCUAAUACCGGAUAGGAGCUCCUGCUGCAUGGUGGGGGUUGGAAAGUUUCGGCGGUUGGGGAUGGACUCGCGGCUUAUCAGCUUGUUGGUGGGGUAGUGGCUUACCAAGGCUUUGACGGGUAGCCGGCCUGAGAGGGUGACCGGCCACAUUGGGACUGAGAUACGGCCCAGACUCCUACGGGAGGCCGCAGUGGGGAGUAUUGCGCAAUGGGCGGAAGCCUGAUGCAGCAACGCCGCGUGCGGGAUGACGGCCUUCGGGUUGUAAACCGCUUUCGCCUGUGACGAAGCGUGAGUGACGGUAAUGGGUAAAGAAGCACCGGCUCACUACGUG